rfam:Schistosoma margrebowiei strain Zambia genome assembly, scaffold: SMRZ_scaffold0003962
AUCCAGCUGACGAGUUCCAAACAGGACGAAGCGCGCGUCCUGGAU